UAUGAUUAUCUGUUUAUAUGCAUGUAUCACUUUGUAUCUGAAGUUAUGAAUAUUGACUGUGUACUUGGAUCUUACACGUGUUCCUGGGUGACACCCCCACCCCUCCACAAUAGAAUUUACAUCAAGGCUACACAGCUAUGUGUGGAUGGCCCAUCAAGAACACUCAGCCCUCAAAAAGGGCCAUUGAAGAAACUCAUCCCCUCCUGAUAGUUCUUCCUGAGGAUGCUUCAGACAGGGAAGGGCCAGUGAUCACCCCUCCUGAGUCAGCAAACUGUGUAAGGACAUGUGAUAUGCUCAUGCGACUCUGGGCUCCAGCUUGGGUCAGUAACUUUCCACAAACAGGAGCUCUGGGCUUUGUUUGGGACAGUAAAAUUCCAAGCACAUGACAGAGGAUAUAAAAGACCCCUGAGUCAUCUCUGGCAACACUGUGAUUUUACCUGUACAGCUUAUUCCCAAUCCCACCCCCUGAAAACAAGCUGUACUGGCAAAAUGCUGUUCUGCCUCUAUAACUGCAUCAGAGAUCACACCACACCCUGACCGACAGGAAUCUCUCAGCUAGACCUGGCUCUAGCGUUUGCCACGCUGACCUGGGGCACAAGACACACAGAAUAAGAGAGGGGUUAUAACACGACAUAGGCUGUCUUCACUGGGGAAAAACAGGUAUGUUUUUAUAUGGAGAGAAAUACCUGGAUUUAAAAUCCUAAUGUAGCCACGGCACAGGUAGUUUUUAACCUGCAUGUGACCCCUGCAGGGUCAACACUAUGUGCCCACUAUACCGUGGGUUUACCCUAAGUCUCUCUCCCUAUAACGAUAUAACCCUACAGAGCAGCCUAUUGGGAAACUCCCCGCCUGCUCGCAUCUUUCACUUUCACUUUCAGCAAGCCUCGAGCUGGGCUGGGUCGGAGCUGGUGUCUUGGCUGCUGCUGCGGGGCCGUCGGGCCUGGAUCAGGGUCGGAACCGGACCAGAACUUUGGGCUUGUGUCCUGCGAGCGGCCCGGGAACUCCCCAGAGCGGGGCGCGGGGGAUCCAUGGGGCGGGCACCCGGGGACACGGCGGUGGCACCGGGCUCGCUCGGGCCAGCAGCAGGACCUGGAGGAUGCGCUGAGCUGUAGAUGUCAGAUUCGAUGCCCUACGGGGGGCAGAAGCAUCCGGGCUCCGCGGUCUGUUCUCGGGACCAUGCUCCGGAUUUUUGUGGUUUUCUUGAUAACACAACUACCUCAUUCAGAAGCUCUACAAUGCGACCUGGGCGAAUAUGAAAUAAAUGGCGAAUGCUGUCCCAUGUGCAGUGCAGGGAGCAGGGUGCUCAAACAUUGUAAACCAAAUAGCAGCACAACUUGCAUGCCCUGUGUGGACGACACUUAUACAGAGCAUCCCAAUGGCCUAACAGAAUGCAUGAGAUGUAAAGUCUGCGAUGCUGGAGCCAGACUGAUGGCAAAAGAAAAAUGCACGUAUACGAAGAACACCGUGUGCGGCUGUGCCCCGGGCGAUUUCUGCAGCCACCCUGCAGGCCUGGACUGUGAAAUGUGUAGUGCCUCCACCAUCUGCCUCCCUGGCUUUAUGGUGAAAGAACAUGGCACAGAAUUCAGAGACAACGUAUGUGAGGUUUGCCCUGAUGGAACCUUCUCGGCAACCAACAUGUCACACACCUGUCAGCCAUGGACCAAAUGUGAAGAGGAAGGGAUGAUAGAACAAAAGGCCGGGACAGUCACUUCUGAUGCAGUUUGUGUAAAAAGAGGCCUUUCUCCCGCAGUGAUAGCAGUGAUAAUUGUCCUUGCUCUCUUACUUUUGUCUGCAUUUGCUGGAGCAGUGUACUUUUUAUGGUGGAGGAAGAAGAGGAAAUAUGGAUUAACACGUAAGUAAGAAAAGCGUGGGACCUGUGAAACCCGUCAAAGGGUCUCUAAAGGGGUCAGACUGGCAGAGUUUGUAUUUGGCACAUUGGUCUUUGUUUCACCCUGGAACAUGCCAACCUGUAACUGGAAUUGCCUCUUGAAAAUGAGAAUCCCUGUGAGACUCUAAAUCUCUCUUCUUUACGGGGUUGCCUUUAAUAUCCGCUGGCCCUAAAUUUGACCUACUUUGAGGUGAGCUGGCUGGUCCUAGGCCAGGGUGCUGUGCUAUAGCACCAGCUGCAGUGAACAUGCCCCCUGCCCAGCUCGGGAGGAUCCUGUCCCUCCCCAACUCAUGGCCAAAACCGGCCUUUUCCCAGGCCAGAUUCCCCAGUGGCUAGAAAUACCAGCUGUUCACAUUCUCCAAACAACCUGGAUCAGUUCUCCCGUGCUUAUGAUCUUUCCUGCUUGUAUCUGAUAUGUGCAUACAAAGUUCCGUUUUAAUUUGCUGCGGGAGCAGUGAUGUUAAUGGAACGGGAGUUUGGACUCUACUCAGAACCUGUUAUUGCUGCAGAAAUAAGCGUCUCAGUUUUGCCCCAUCAUUUAUCCACCAAGAGAAGAACAUGUUCUCAGGUGCAAGAGAGAACGCUGGUUACUGGUUAUAGCUGGGGACUGGAAAUCAGGACUCUUGGAUAAUAGUCUCAGCUCUGCCGAGAUGACCAGAGGUGUGAAUUUUGGCAAAUUGCUCAAUUUCCCUGUGCCAUAGAGUAGCUGUUUGACGCAAUGCCUCCCUUUAUAGGGCUGUGUGGCUUGCUGUUUGCAAAACACUUUGAAAUCCUUAGAGGUUAGGUGCUGUAUCAAUGCAAAGCAUUGUUAGAGCCCAAAAUCACACUGGAUUAGCAUUGUCACCUAACCACCUUCCUCUCCCAGUAGGGUGAUUCCUCAAGAUGCCGCUAAGUGUAGUGGAAAGCGCAGUUACUGCUCAGGGGGGCCAUGUUCUGUGGAUGUGCACCCACAUGGCCCCACUGAAUCGCAGAGAGCUGUGCAUGCGUCUAAGGGCAGGACUUUUCUAUGGGACAUUAAUACAGAAACAUCAAUACAAAAUGCAGCAGACUGUUUUCUGAACAGAUUCCUUUUUCUUUGCAGCUGCACAGGAGACAGGGGAGUCAAAUGGACAGGUUGGGAGCAAGUUUAUCUAGCCUACAGAGAAUGGCACAGAGAACAUUCCUCCUUAGGAGCAAACAAAGGCAAGAGCAGUGGGGGAAGAAAGAAAGCCAUUGUCAGCCCUGCCCGUGUGAUUGGAUUGGAGGCUUCUGAAAAUCCCUCUUCAUUGAAUUUCAGGGAUCAUCAUCAUUUAGUUUCUCUGGCUAAGGCCUGUUAUGCUGAAGCCGUCCUCAGGGACACAUUGUUAGUGGAAUGUCUGCAGACUCUGAGCUCUUGGGGCAUGUCUCCACUUGCCAUUUAAAGCACAAAAAGUCCCUGUUUUGCACAAAAACUGUGGGAGCGUCUAAACUUGCCAGUGACAGAAGUUUCACUGCAAACAGAAAACCACCUCGACAAGCAGCGUACAGCUCUUACCACUGAUCCUUUUGUGGUGAUGCGCAAGUGGAGGCACAUUCUUCCUGUGUAAACAGCUUUUAGCCUCCAGAGGAUAUCCCACAGUGCCUAGGGCGAUCACUCUGGCCAGCAGCUCUGCUGUUCUAAAUAAACAGAAGUCCGCCUCUCCCCUGUAAAGCCAGUGGGAACUUUGAAACUCCCCUUCCUGGUUUUUUUUUUGCAAGUGCUCAUCUGGCCAAGUGACCAUGGUGCUCCACAGAGAAAACGAUCCACCGCUGGGACCCUGCGCUCACCCCCUGCUUCCCACAAGACCUAUACUGGGAUAGCUGCCCUCAGUGUGCUGCUCUCAUGGGCGAUGGAAGUGCUGCAAAUGUAAACACUCUCUGACCCUGUGGAAGUAACUGAGUACAGAAACCAGCACUUUUCUUACUCUGAUUCCCUAUCUGACAGCGCAAAAACUCAAGUAUAGAUGUAGCCUGGGUUUCAUUCACUAACUAAACUUAAACUUCCAUUUAUUCAUUACAAUGAUUGAAAGUUCCCACUCACAUAUCACGCUGGACUUUCUAGCCACAAACACUUCUUGGUAUCCAGGAAUCUCUACUGGAGCAGUUGCUCUUUUGACUAUAUUGGACCAGGUAGUCAAAGUGGUUUUUAUACAUAGCUUUAGUUUUAUAACAGGGCAACAGAGGGUGGGAACAGAAAUGUUGUAUUGCUCAAUAUCUCAUCCUACAUUCUACCUGUACGUUUACUGUCUCUUGUUAAUCAGAUUUGCUUUGAACCUUCUCUAUAUGUAAGAUAAAAUCCCAGGUAAGACGUAUGGUUGGAAAUAAAGCUAAAUGUUUUUAUAGUGAAAAUUGGAGGGUGAACUGCACCAACUUGCUACCCUUGAUAAAGCAGCAGUCGGAGGGCUGGACAAUCUAGGUAUCGAUUUGUGAUGCGUAUGAAAGAAGAAGAUAGUGAAGUCACAUUCACCCCAGAGCAGCUGUCCUGUCAGUUGGGAGAACAGGGGCUGUGAAGCUUCAUUCAUUAAUCUAUUUAAGCACUGCUGUGCUUGGAUAAGGGGCAGUACAAGAGAGAAAAUCAGCAUGAUGAUUAUUCUGUGGCAUGGUGGAAGUGGGGUCUUGCAAAGGGAUUUGUGCUGUGGCCUUUUCGAUUAGUCUGGAGCGAUGAACCAGGCAUAAGUGAGCCGGGGAAGAAAGAGCCAAGGUGCUUGUGGGAGAGGCAGAUGAAUGGGUGAUGGAGGCUGCCAUUGUGGGAGGCCUGGGGGUGCUGGGGGCGAUGCAGUGAGAUCCAGGAGCAGACAGGAAGGGACAGGCUGCAUGAUGAGGAGUCUUAGAGGUAGGGAAGAGACGCUUGUGUUCUCUAGAGUGGGGGAGGGCUAAACCCCUUCCCAGGGCCUGAGGCCCCCGACUCAUCCACUACCACUCAGUGAGUGUCUGGGUCUGCAACUCAUCCCAGAGUCAGGGAAAAGGCAUGAAACCUGCCCUCCACCAGGGGUUAAUAUUGGUCUGUCAAUCACCUGAUUUACCUUCCUGAUGGGCUAAAUUCUUUUUUUUUUUAAACUGGGCCGUAGCCACUAAGUGAGGAGUUGCUAGGCAGGAUAGCCAUGUGGGUGGGCCCUGCCUGAUUGUUCCCAUUGGUGUAUUUUUGUGAUUGGGUGACCAUCUUGGCCAGUCGACAAACCCCUCUUCCUCUGUCGCUGUCAUUGGCAGAGGAGGUUGAACAGAAUGUGAUUUUUCAAUUGGCUAGAUGAGACUUGUUGCUAGGCAGAGUAGCCAGCCCAUUGUUGGGGUACCAGGCUGUGUCUUUGGUGGAGAAAAACAAGUAUGUUUUUAUAUGAAGAUAAUUAUCUAGUGAAUAAUGCAAAUCAUGACAAUAAUCAUCGACUUUAUGGACUCUGUGGAUGCAGUUUCUGUUCUUUGUUCUGGAAUUGGCCUGAAUACAGUUGAAAUCCUACGAAUUUGAGGCAUAAACACACCUGAUAGUCAUACAACAGCUUUUCAUUCCUUCCUUUUCUCUAAUUCAGAACAAAACUUGGCUGAACAAAAUGGUUUUCAGUUAAAAUGUAAAAUUGCACAGCAGCCAUUGCUGUGCAACCCAGCAUGGGCAGAACCUGCCACCCCUUGGGAGUGAAGU